AAACAUCCAAGUCAGUUUGAGCGGGUCUCCUCCUGCUGGAGCUACAGCUGUCUGUGUGUCUGCUGCAGGAGUUUAUGGAUUAAUAUCGGGAUCGUUUUACAUCUACACGUUAAAUAUGAGCAUCGGGACGUCAACAAAGAACAGAAGACUUGAGAUCUGAGCACCAGUGGACAGUGAGGACUAUGGAAGAGAAGAUGUGAUGGAAAGCUGCUGACGCCAGCCUGUGUCCCUCAUCAGUCUCUCCAGGCAGCACCCAGCUAUUCUUCCAUCUUGCAGAUGGAAAGACAGAAAGAAAGAUGGAAUAUGUUGCACUGCCACGUCUACAGUAGCGCAGAAUGGACCGAGGAAACAUGAUUGGGCAUCAAGUUUUUUGCAGCCAAUAUACAUUCUCCUACAAACUUGGGUUAGGAGGGUGAGUGAAGAAGUUAUCCAUUGGUUGGAACCUACAUCCCCAUUGUUAGACGUACUAAAUCCUGCACACUGCUCCUUCAAAUUGACAAUGUGAACAUACAGAUGUAGCACCUCAUUUCAGACUCCAGCUUACAGCUUCCUGCCUACGACCUGCCUAAGACCAGUAUCGAGGAAUGUUAAGCCCUCCCACUAUUUUCCAAGCGGGCUUUGCCAGAUUUUCAAUUUCAGGUUUUAACCAGGAGAUGGCGCUUCAUUCACAAAUACAGAAAGACAACUUUCAGCACUUUCAGUUGUGUUUUGAGGAGCAUUUGAACACAUAUUUUAGAUCAAAUAAAGUAUAUCUAAUCUUGUAAUUCAAUAAUAUAUAGUCUUUAUAUAUUAAAUAAUCAUAAUAAUAAUGUAAAUGUUUACAUUACACUUCUUUAUUUGUUAUGCUCAUACUUUUACCUUUACAAUCGUUUGCUUUAAUAUGCAGUAUUUUUGUUGUAUAUUUGUGUUUGCUUCGUCUUGCUCCCUUUCGGACAUAUACUGUAUGAUUUAUUAUUAAUAUGAAGAUAUUAUUAAGAUAA